AACCUUAUGGACCUGCGGGCGUAUACCUGCGGAGGGAUCAUUAAUGGGUAGGCUUUGGCCAUAAUCCCUCACCAUUGUGAACGAAGCUUUAGUAGCAGUUGCUUCGGCGGGUGAUAAUACCAUGCCCCUUUCGGGGUACCCGCCGGAGGCAAGUAAAUUCUUGUUAUUUAUUGUUAUCUCUGAGUAAACUUUAAAUAAGUCAAAACUUUCAGCAACGGAUCUCAGAUCGGAAGAGCACAC
rnacentral:misc_RNA from 1 species